GCCUCGGUGGCACAAUGGUUAAGCAGCUUGGCUGCUAACUGAAAGGCUGGUGGUUCAAAACCACCCAGGGGCU
rnacentral:tRNA from 1 species